rnacentral:rRNA from 1 species
AACGAACGCUGGCGGCGUGCUAACACAUGCAAGUCGAACGCGAAAGGGACUUCGGUCCUGAGUAAAGUGGCGCACGGGUGAGUAACGCGUAGAUAACCUGUCUUCAUGUCUGGAAUAAUACGCCGAAAGGGGUACUAAUACCGGAUAUUCUUGCUUUUCAUAAGUUAUGCAAGCAAAGGUGGCCUCUGCAUAUGCUACUGCAUGAAGAGGGGUCUGCGUACCAUUAGCUAGUAGGUGGGGUAAUGGCCUACCUAGGCGACGAUGGUUAGCGGGUCUGAGAGGAUGAUCCGCCACACUGGCACUGGAACACGGGCCAGACUCCUACGGGAGGCAGCAGUGAGGAAUAUUGCGCAAUGGGGGAAACCCUGACGCAGCGACGCCGCGUGAGUGAAGGAAGGCCUUCGGGUCGUAAAGCUCUGUCAAGAGGAAAGAAGUGUACAAUGGCUAAUACCUGUUGUAUUUGACGGUACCUCUAAAGGAAGCACCGGCUAACUCCGUGCCAGCAGCGGC